UACGGAGGGUGCGAGCGUUGUCCGGAAUCACUGGGCGUAAAGGGCGCGUAGGUGGCCUGUGGAAGUCUGCGGUGAAAGCCCGGCGCUCAACGCCGGGUCGGCCGUGGAUACUCUCGGGCUCGAGCUUACUAGAGGCAGAUGGAAUUCCGGGUGUAGCGGUGGAAUGCGUAGAGAUCCGGAAGAACACCGGUGGCGAAGGCGGCCUGCUGGGCAGUGAGCUGACGCUGAGGCGCGACAGCGGUGGGGAGCAAACAGG
rnacentral:rRNA from 1 species